CUGCGGUGUCAACGUGACUCUGCUCUCCCUGCGCCCUAAUUGGGCGUCGCCUGUGCAGGCCCUCCGCUGUGUGUGGAGGGCUGUGGCCUUGUAUCUCUAGGGAGGGAACAUCUUUUGUCUCUCGGCAAGAAGCUUUCCUCCGGGAAAGAUAAAGUAAUCGAUAGGGUCUUUUAAAUAGCUCCGCGUUUCCUGUCGGGAGAGGAGUAUCAGCGCGCACACCAAAUCUGCUCUGGAUGGAUCCUGUGUACGGUGUGCCAUGUUGAAACUAGAGAAUGAGACCUGGAUACCACCGUGCCAUCUUUGAACCAAUGGCAGAGUCUCGCCCAUCUCUUGGCCUCUUGAAUUACUCUGGUGACCUAGUUAUUCAGUCCUGGGUGGACCUGCAGGUGGCCCUCAAGGAGGGUUUCCUCUGAGUGAACACUUUUCUAGAAGGAGACCAGGGUGCUUCUUUCUUUUCUUCUAGCAAGAUGUGUGACGUGAGAGAUGGGAAAGUUGGGGCAUUUAGAAUUGAAGUGGUGAGAACAGCCCAGGGUGGGAUCAGGAGUGCCUUGCCCUCCACCUAGUGUGACUGCCAUCUUCUAGAAGCUCCAGGUCCUUUUCUUAAUGGGAAGCUGCACUGCUGUUCCUUAGAUGUGACAAGAGGGGAAGUGGGGCCAGGUGGCACUGGGAGCAGUUCUUAGCCGAUUCCUGGAUUCCGAGCUCUGGAGGACGCUACUUGGGGCACCUGAUGAUAAUGUAUAAAGGAGAUACUCAGACACGGUGGGUUUUGCUUCCCAGUUGGGAGCAGCCAUGAGCCAAUGGCAGAGUGCAGGCUGGGCGCAUCAGGACCCAGCCCACCAUAGCAGCUGCCCCGAGGCAGGCAGUGGAGACUCCAGAGGACAAAAGCCAUUCCCACUCUGGCCUUGUGGAGCAUGAAGAGUCCAUAAGUAGAUGACAUAGCCUAGACGGCUGCCUUCCUUGAAAUUUCUGUCCUGGGCUCCAGGUGAAGAUGGAAUGGAGGAGGGGGUAUCCCUGGCUACUCCCAGGGCAGAAGGAAAUUUGGAGCAGCUUAGGUGCCAGAUCUGCAAGUGAUGGAGCCUCCAGAAGAUUUCCAGCACCCAACUGGUCCAGUUUUCAGAGCUUAGGCCCCAGACUUCAUAGAGCAGAGACAAGCCAUCCUUGCUGUGUCCUGACCCACCACGUCAGUGAACAUAAUAAAACGGUAGUUUUCAUACCACUGA
rnacentral:lncRNA from 1 species